GACCCCUGCAAUUUCCCCAAAUGUGGGAAACCCGGCUGCAUAAUUUGUGGUAGCGGGGACUGCAUUCGCACUUUCCCCU
rnacentral:snRNA from 11 species